CCUACGGUGGGCCGCAGUGGGGAAUAUUGGACAAUGGGCGAAAGCCUGAUCCAGCCAUGCCGCGUGUGUGAAGAAGGCCUUCGGGUUGUAAAGCACUUUCAGUGGGGAAGAAAGCCUUGGGGCUAAUACCCUCGAGGAAGGACAUCACCCACAGAAGAAGCACCGGCUAACUCCGUGCCAGCAGCCGCGGUAAUACGGAGGGUGCGAGCGUUAAUCGGAAUUACUGGGCGUAAAGCGCGCGUAGGCGGUCUGAUAAGCCGGUUGUGAAAGCCCCGGGCUCAACCUGGGAACGGCAUCCGGAACUGUCAGGCUAGAGUGCAGGAGAGGAAGGUAGAAUUCCCGGUGUAGCGGUGAAAUGCGUAGAGAUCGGGAGGAAUACCAGUGGCGAAGGCGGCCUUCUGGACUGACACUGACGCUGAGGUGCGAAAGCGUGGGUAGCAAACAGGAUUAGAUACCCUUGUAGUC
rnacentral:rRNA from 1 species